rnacentral:rRNA from 2 species
UACGGAGGAUCCGAGCGUUAUCCGGAUUUAUUGGGUUUAAAGGGUGCGUAGGCGGACUUAUAAGUCAGCGGUGAAAGUUUGCAGCUUAACUGUAAAAUUGCCGUUGAAACUGUUAGUCUUGAGUGUAAAUGAGGUAGGCGGAAUGUGUUGUGUAGCGGUGAAAUGCUUAGAUAUAACACAGAACACCAAUUGCGAAGGCAGCUUACUGGGAUACAACUGACGCUGAGGCACGAAAGCGUGGGGAUCAAACAGG